GUGUUUUUCUUCUCUCUCUCUCUUUCUCUCUUUGCCUAUAUAUAAGAACCUAUAUCUGAGUUAGGGUUUUCAGGGUGAGUGAUGAGGGUUUGUUGAGGGGAAUGUUGGCUGGCUCGAGGCUUUUCACAGAGCAAGUUCUCUCUCAGUGUAUAUAAGGCUUCGGACCAGGCUUCAUUCCCCUCAAAACUUGUAUAUAGCUAACAUUUGUUCUUAAUUCAAACACAAGGUGCUGUGUUUUCAUGUAGAUUAUGUGUAUGGUGAAAGAUGUCUGAGGAAGCUAGCUAGUCCUGCUGCAAAUGUUAAGGUUGAGAGGACUGUUGUCUGGCUCGAGGUCAUGGAAGAGUUCUGAAUGAUGAAGUAUGUUUCCAUGGUCAUUAGUGGAAAUCUAUACACCUUCAAUGAUUCUCGGACCAGGCUUCAUUCCCCCCAGCCAACAUUUGCUACUUAAUAAUUUCAAUUUCUUUGUUCAUGAGGAUCAUCAUCUUCUUCCCCAGGAUACCACAAAAGAAGGGUCCUUAAUUAGUUUGCAGUACUAUGCAAGGUGAGAAAACUUACAGCUCUAAUUAUCUCUGUACUGUCAAUUCUUAUGAAGGAUGUACCUUCUAGUCUUGUUUCAAUUGCAACUUGAGUGACCUUAUGACAGCUUCUUCCAAGUUUCCAUCUUGGAAGGUGCUGAAAAUUAGUUUAUAAUGUGAUUUUUCAUGACAUUGUUAUCAUUUAUUUUUAUUUUCAAAUUGAUAAAAACAUAACAAAAACAGAAACUCUGCUAGCAGCUGUUUAGAUGAUGCACAUGUAUUAGCUUUAUUUAGUUUUUUUAACUCUUCUGAACCACUCAUGAAGGAAUUAACAUGUCUACUGUCCUAGCCAUUAGAGAGAGAGAGAGAGAUUAGACAAGAGCAUGCUCCAGCACCUUCACCAACCCCAAAGUCGAAGUCUCUAGUUUUCUGUAAUUUUUAUUUAAGAUUAUUAGCAUUUGACAAACAUGAGGAUAAAUAUGAAUAUUAUAUUAUUUUUAAUUAAUUAUGAAUGAAUAAAUUGGCUAAUCAAUCUCCGAAUGUUCAUUUGUCAUGGACAAGAAAGGUGUACAGUGAAAAGCUAUCAGAUGUGAAAUUCUUUCUUUAUAGCCAGCAGCAGCAGCUAGCUAGCAGCUCUGCCUCUAGGUCUUUCUAGGGUUUCAAAGGACAAAAUCCCUCCCCCUUCUGAAAAAAUGUCAUUUCAUCCUUUUUUCAAUUUUCAGACUGGUGAAAAGUAUAGGGAAGGGAACCUCUCUAUAUUUACUGGGGAAAAGGGCAUCAUUUUCAUGAAUCUGAAAGAAAAAAAUGUACUGCAGGUAAAUCAGCAGUGUUACCUGGUAAAUGGCAAGGCAGUCAUAUAAUGUACAAAAUUAUGUUAGUAUGUGUUUGGUUUGAGGUUUAAGAGUGUUAGAAUCAAUUCUCAUUAAUCAGAAUCACCUUUCAAUCUGUUGUGAAUUUAAAUUUUCAUUAAACUAAAUGUGAAUCCACUAUGAAUCAAACAUGUCAAAGUUUUACUUAUCCGAUUCAUGUUAAAUUCAACAUCCCAAAUUUUAACUUAUUUAUUAAAAUAUGUGAAAUCACGUUUGCGUUGACUCUAACACUAAAAUGAACAUGCAUUAUAUAGAACUUUGACAAUUAGCUUAGAAAAUUGAUUUGAGUCUCAAAAUCAAUUAUGCAAAAAAAGCUAUAACCAUGGUGGGCCUAGUGUAUAUUUGGAUACACAGUAAAAUUAAAAUCAUGGUAAAUAACCAAAGGUAGUUCUUAUUUCUACUGUAAUCUUAAUCCACAGUGGUUUUCAACUUUAUAUUCAAAUUAUCACAUGAUCAAUUAUAAGAUUUUAAUAUUUUAUAAUAGGAAUCAAUAUUCCCAUAAACAUAUGAACAUUUUUUCAAUUAAUUUCAUACAAAGAUAAAUCAUUUAUUAAUUUUAUGGAAAAUCAAUUUUGAGAAACACUGAUCCAAUGACACAAUUAAACAUGUGUAUAGUGAAAUAAAUAUUGAUCUAUCUAUAUAUCAUAUGAUGUGAGCAGCUAGGUAGCUAGGUUGUGAAACGUAACUGUUGUGAAUUAAUUGCAUUUUGUUGUGUAGUGAGAUGCCAGACAUGAGUAAUAAAGGCAUGCACUAUAGUACUCGCGCGUUUGCUGGGGCAUCUAUCUGUGAAAUGUGAAUGAAAUAUGGGGAAGAAGAUAGAUACUUAGAUCAUAAAUAGAUACUAGUGUGCUAGAACAGUUAACGAGAAAUUAAACAGUGAUGAGGAACAGGAUAAGGUAGAUCAGAGUAGAUAUGUUUUUCCAUUAUCAUGUCAUGAGGACCCAGAUAUGUGUGCAUACACAAGGUGAUGCAAACUAAACAUGGAAAAAAGAGAAAGAGAAAGCUUCUGAUUUCUCUUAUUUCUUCUAUUCAUGUAAGAUUGUACGUACGUGUGUUUGUGUGUGAGAUCAAUGUGUGUGUUUUAGUGUAACGUAUUUAUGGAGCUUUUAAAGUUGCUGAGAAUUCAGAGACCAUCUUUGGAAAAGCUCGGAUCAGCAAAAUCAGGUUUUCUUCCUUUCCGCGGAGUCAUAGUAAAUACUACCAAUGGAGAGAGAUUAGGCAUUAGAUUAUUUUAGACCACAAUUGAGAACAUUGACUAAGUGCAUACUUAGUUUUAAAUGUGAGUUUAUGUUAAAAUUAAACAUGUCAAAAUUCUGCUUUUUUAUAAUCUUACAUGAAAUUGCAUUAGCGUUGACUCCAACGCUUAAUCAAA